UACGUAGGGGGCAAGCGUUGUCCGGAAUCAUUGGGCGUAAAGAGCGUGUAGGCGGCCUGGUAAGUCCGCUGUGAAAGUCCAGGGCUCAACCCUGGAAUGCCGGUGGAAACUGUCAGGCUCGAGUCCGGAAGAGGCGAGUGGAAUUCCUGGUGUAGCGGUGAAAUGCGCAGAUAUCAGGAGGAACACCAAUUGCGAAGGCAGCUCGCUGGGACGGUACUGACGCUAAGGCGCGAAAGCGUGGGGAGCGAACAGG
rnacentral:rRNA from 1 species